rnacentral:tRNA from 1 species
AGCGGGAUGGAGCAGUCUGGUAGCUCGUCGGGCUCAUAACCCGAAGGUCGUUGGUUCAAAUCCAGCUCCCGCAACCA